GGCCGGGCUGAGCCUCUGGGUACCUGUGGGCCAAAACCACUCAGAAACCACAGGCCAAAUGAGUCCACUUUCUGAAGUGCCCAGGGAGUGAGGGAGACACCGUGGUUUCUGUUCCAACAUCCCGGCCUGGUGAGGCGCGAGGCAGCGACACCACGGGAGGGACGGGGAACGUGCCCCGAGCUGCCCCCCGGGUCUUCGGGCUUGCGCUGACCGUGGGCCGCGGGACAUGUGUUCGGGACACCCUCCGGUGCCUGACAGGUCUGCUGAUGCCCGAGGUGUCCUCCCCCAGCCCCAGGAAAGCGACAAAGGCACCAAGCAUGUCCCGGCAGGGAGGAGAGAGGCCAGGAGGGGCGACAGGGCCCAGCCGCCAAGACUGAUGCUCAGGGGACCGACCUCUUGGCCGCGGCAGUGUUCCUGCCACAGUCUGGGGGCCCCCUCCCAGGGGUCAGGCUGGGCGUCCCCUCCCUGGGCCCCAGUGUCCACAUAGCACCUGCUGGCCCUGCCCUGGAGGCGGCAGACCCCGGGCUGGGUCCCCCCUGCACCGCCUCCCCUCCCCGUCAUCUGGGAACCGGGCCCCCGGACCGCCCUGGGGGAGACGACGCCGGCCCACCCAGCACGCCCGGGGGCACACGAAUCUAAUUUGUUUGCAGUGCGGCCCUUUCACGUGCAGGCGGCUGUGAUGCCGUCUCCUCCCUGCACCCCACCACGAAGCGGGUGCCGUCACCGCAUUCUGCGGGUGAGGACGCCGAGGCCAGAGGAGAAGGGAUCGGCCAGGACCACACCCGGAGCCGUGGGUUUUACUUCUUGUCCCUGGGCCAGCAGCGAACCAGGUACGGGGAGACAGGCCCUGGUGCGGCCCGAGGUCAGAUAGACCCCCCCCCCGUGGCCUGUGCCUCCCCGGGCGUCUCUCCCCUUUCCAAGCUGGGGUCCUGGGAGGAUUCGGGAGGACUGUCCACGGAGCAGCGGCUGCCUUCCCACAGUCUUCCGGGUCAGGGAGCGACCCCGCGGGAGAGCACCUCCACCGGCUAGGGGACCCCUCUUCUGCAUCCAUCCCCCUGGUGAGAUGCCCACCACCCCGGGGCUCAGCCCCCCACCCCAGGGACACGCCUGGCCUGGCGUCCAGGGGUCAAGCAUGUGGCUCACCAGUCAGGAGCCCGGACAUCCUCUGAGAGCCUCAGGCUCGCCUCCCGAAAGGGAGGGGUGACUCACCCACCUGGAGAGCUAGCUCGGGGGACACACGUGUGACACGUGCUCGGCACACGGCAGGCCAGCACCGUCCUCCUUAGCAGGGUCCUCCCUCUCCCCCGCCUCCCGAGACAACCAGCCCCCCCCCCCACACACCCCCACCCCCCGCUCCAGGCCGCCUGGUGUGGGGUCCUCGUCCCGCUCGGGAGGUCUCAGAGCCCCGUGUCCACACCAAGGCGCUGUCGUUGGGCUCCCGGUGGCCUUCUUGGCGGGCGCCUCCGUGCCACGUGCUGGGCUCUGGGCCCCACCUCCAGCCCAAUCCGCCUGGCCGUCGUGCAACCCCAGGCAGGAAGCAGCACCUUCAGGAAGGUUCGAGUGACCCUCCUGGGCCGGGAGCCCUGCCGUCCAGCUGUGGCCACGCUCGGGGCGUGUCCAGGCCACCGGCCGGCAGGUCCACUGCAGGACCCAUGUAAUCUGCCCAAAGCAGCACGGCUAGUUAGAAGUUUUAUUGAUUGAACACGAUCGAGUGGAAAUAGUAAAAGUUCUCCCGAUGUAACCCACUUUUUCUUAAUGGGUAAUCUCAGACACUCGAGUUUGUAUGUUAAAGGAGCUUUAGGACAAUUUAAUAGCUCAUAAAAUUUUAUAGUCCCAGUUGAAAUCAGAGUGAUAACUCUGGCCUGCGCAGC